GAUGAACGCUGGCGGCGUGCCUAAUACAUGCAAGUCGAGCGAACAGACGAGGAGCUUGCUCCUUUGACGUUAGCGGCGGACGGGUGAGUAACACGUGGAUAACCUACCUAUAAGACUGGGAUAACUUCGGGAAACCGGAGCUAAUACCGGAUAACAUGUUGAACCGCAUGGUUCAACAGUGAAAGACGGUCUUGCUGUCACUUAUAGAUGGAUCCGCGCCGCAUUAGCUAGUUGGUAAGGUAACGGCUUACCAAGGCAACGAUGCGUAGCCGACCUGAGAGGGUGAUCGGCCACACUGGAACUGAGACACGGUCCAGACCCCUACGGGAGGCAGCAGUAGGGAAUCUUCCGCAAUGGGCGAAAGCCUGACGGAGCAACGCCGCGUGAGUGAAGAAGGUCUUCGGAUCGUAAAACUCUGUUAUUAGGGAAGAACAAAUGUGUAAGUAACUAUGCACGUCUUGACGGUACCUAAUCAGAAAGCCACGGCUAACUACGUG
rnacentral:rRNA from 1 species